GGCGGAGUUAUAGCACACUCUAAGCGUAGUAAUUCUCUCUCGCUUCUUGUAGUGGUUAUAGUUGCUAGCCAUAAAACACCCCCUAUUUUAA
rnacentral:rRNA from 1 species